GGUUCCAUAGUGUAGCGGUUAUCACGUUUGCUUUACACGCAAAAGGUCGCCGGUUCGAGCCCGGCUGGAACCA
rfam:Tropilaelaps mercedesae isolate Wuxi-XJTLT scaffold0000009766, whole genome shotgun sequence.